AGCCCCCCGACCACAUCAGAUGGAUGAAAGAACCGCAUGUGGCUCCAGCGUGCAUUAUGGGAUUUUCCUAAGCAGAAAAACGCUUGCCGGCAUCUGACCAGUUUUGCUUAUAUCCUUUUUAUGCCUCUUUAGCUCUGGUGAGCCAUGAGCUAUCUCAUGUCUCAAGAGGUCGGACGGCUGAUAACGAUUUUCCUACACAAACUCUCACAAUAUUGCAGUCUAAAUGAAAUGGACCCUACAUAGAAAAAUGAUGCAUUAACGAGUAGCAAGGUGCUAUGCACCCACCUGUGUGCCUCUGUUAUAAGAUAAGUAAAAAGAACAUAUUUGUGAAUGAGGUAACUGCUGGAUGUUGAGACCUUGAAUUUGAGCUGAAAGAACCUUUGUUAUUACAACUGUGGAUGAGAAUAACUGGAGUCCAGAGCGACAGAGAAAAUACUUUAAAUAUUGGAUGAUAAGAAUUUUUGCUGAAAACAAGUCUAAAUCAACAGUGAUCUCCCAAAAUUUUCUUGUGCUUUUUCGCCCACAGGUCGUGAAUCCAGGAAAUUGGGUUCUGAUGAAGGUGCUGAAACAAGACAAUUGGGGCAGCCAGAGGUGAGAAGGUCCAUUCCAAGUACUCCACACCACUCCUACUGCUGUGAAGAUUGCUGAGAGACCAUCUUGGAUUCAUCUAUCCCACUGCAAGCUCAACAGCAUCAACUGACCGCUAUUAGAGUGCAACGAAGUCCGGGUUUCAAAGAUGUGAUGGUAACAAUAGGUACUCAUGUCUCAACCCCGGUAAAGAUGAAUAUCUGCUUCAAGCUUGCUGGAUUCACCACAUUGUUGAUGUUGGCGCUCACGUUCAUGGCCCUGCACUUGGGCUGCCUCUCAGCACCUGACGGAACGACUGGGACAGCAGCAUCUGACGGGAGUACUGGAACUGAAAUGACAGAUUGGGGCUCCUCCUCCCUGACCACACACCUACAUGACAACGUAGCCUGCACCCACCUUGGCUGAAGACCCCCUGGACUCAACUACGACAGGAGACAUCGAAGAAGAGACACUGGAAAAGGAUAACUACUUCAGUCACCUGCACCCAAUCUCCAACCUGGUUUCACGGUCAAAGGACCAGAAGGAUUUUUCGGGGACAAGAUCAGCUCCCUGACAGGUGGACAACCACCUCAGCAUGCCAUGGAACGACCCUGACACCUUCCUAUUGAGAAGUUGAACUAUGCACUUUCACAUCCCAAACUCCAUUCUUGCAUUCCAGACCUGGACUUCAAGGAACUCAUCAACUUAAGACUGAAACCAUCCUGAUCAACGGAGAGGACUCUAACCUUCCAAACUAUUCUUCAACUGGGACUCUCAGUCCAUGGACAAGCUCUUUGAUGAAAAAUGCCUGGUUUGCCUCAGCUAGUUAGAGCUGCAUAAAUUGAUACUACCUGUUCAUUUUUCCUCAUUCACAGAAAAAGCCGUGUGUGACCUGAAGCUUUAAUUCAUCUGAUGUUUCAGUAAACUCUACUGAUGUUUACGAUAUAUUAUAUGGUUUUGCUAAUCCUUCCUAAUCUCUUUACAGGAACUGCUAUAAACUGUAGAAUUGUUGCGUCACAGUAAAUUCACAUCAAUAUGUAUGAAAUAGCUCUUCUUAUGAUGGUGUUGAUUUAACUGAUUUCCAUUAUUUCACUUGUACCUCUUUAAACUGCCGUUUGAUGUUAUUGUCAGUUGUGUUUGCCUUAUCGUGUUUUAUUAUUUCAUUUGUUCUUUAUUAUUUUCUUUGUUUUGUUGUUUUCUUUUUGUUUGGUUAUCCUAUUUGGAUAAACAGGAGGGAUUAUGUUAUGGAAAUUUUAUGAUCCAUUAUUUCUUUAUCAUUAAUCCUGAAAGAAUUCUCACUCAGACACACACACACACACACACACACACACACACCUCUGUUCUUUUCUUAUCUCAUGUUAUAUAAUAAACUCUCAGGGCAGUUGCCUCGUGCUCUGCCCCUGAUUGCAAUCCG